rnacentral:tRNA from 1 species
GCCGCUAUAUCUCAGUGGCUAGAGCGUUGGUCUCGUAAACCAAAGGACGCGAGUUCGAAUCUCGUUGGCGGCA